CCGGCGCACGGGUGAGUAACACGUAUCCAACCUGCCGUCUACUCUUGGCCAGCCUUCUGAAAGGAAGAUUAAUCCAGGAUGGGAUCAUGAGUUCACAUGUCCGCAUGAUUAAAGGUAUUUUCCGGUAGACGAUGGGGAUGCGUUCCAUUAGAUAGUAGGCGGGGUAACGGCCCACCUAGUCAACGAUGGAUAGGGGUUCUGAGAGGAAGGUCCCCCACACUGGAACUGAGACACGGUCCAA
rnacentral:rRNA from 1 species